CCCGGAUGACAGUGGCGCAAGGGUGAGUAACACGUGAGUAAUCUGCCCCGAAGUCCGGGAUAGCCCAUGGAAACGUGGAUUAAUACCGGAUGUGGCUGUAUGAACUGCGGUUUUAACAGUUAAAGAUUCAUUGCUUCGGGAUGAGCUCGCGGUCCAUCAGCUUGUUGGUGAGGUAAUGGCUCACCAAGGCGACGACGGAUAGCUGGUCUGAGAGGAUGACCAGUCACACUGGGACUGAGACACUGCCCAGACUCCUACGGGAGGCUGCAGUCGAGAAUCUUCCGCAAUGGGCGCAAGCCUGACGGAGCAAUGCUGCGUGCCGGAUGAAGGCCUUCGGGUCGUAAACGGCUGUCACUCGGGACGAAUUUUGACGGUACCGAGAGAGGAAGCCACGGCUAACUACGUGCCAGCAGCCGCGGUAAUACGUAGGUGGCGAGCGUUAUUCGGAAUUAUUGGGCCUAGAGGGUUCGUAGGGGGUAAUGUAAGUCCGGUGUGAAAUCCCGAGGCUCAACCUCGAAACUGCAUUGGAAACUGCGUUACUUGAGUGUCAGAGAGGAAAGCGGAAUUCCUGGUGUAGCGGUGGAAUGCGUAGAUAUCAGGAAGAACACCGACGGCGAAGGCAGCUUUCUGGCUGACAACUGACCCUGAUGAACGAAAGCUAGGGUAGCGAACAGGAUUAGAUACCCUGGUAGUCCUAGCUGUAAACGUUGUGCACUGGAUGUGGGCGGAUUUGGUCCCGUCUGUGUCUGAGCGAAGGCGUUAAGUGCACCGCCUGGGGACUACGUCCGCAAGGCUAAAACUCAAAGGAAUUGACGGGGGCCCGCACAAGCGGUGGAGCAUGUGGCUCAAUUCGAGGCAAUGCGAAGAACCUUACCUGGGUUUGACAUAUACCUGACCGCCGGUGAGGAGCCGGUUUCUCUUUGAGCAGGUAUACAGGUGCUGCAUGGCUGUCGACAGCUCGUGCUGUGAAGUGU
rnacentral:rRNA from 1 species